rnacentral:rRNA from 1 species
AACGAACGCUGGCGGUAUGCUUAACACAUGCAAGUCGAACGAACAAAAUUGGGGCUUGCUCCAAUUUUAGUGAGUGGCAAACGGGUGAGUAACACGUGGGAAUCUACCUAUCAGUACGGAAUAACAUUUGGAAACAGAUGCUAAUACCGUAUAUUCUCCAAGGAGGAAAGAUUUAUCGCUGAUAGAUGAGCCCGCGCAAGAUUAGGUAGUUGGUAGGGUAAUGGCCUACCAAGCCUACGAUCUUUAGCUGGUCUGGGAGGAUGAUCAGCAACACUGGGACGGAGAAACGGCCCAGACACCUAAGGGAGGCAGCAGUGGGGAAUAUUGGACAAUGGGCGAAAGCCUGAUCCAGCAAUACCGCGUGAAUGAUGAAGGCCUUAGGGUUGUAAAGUUCUUUUAGUUGGAAAGAUAAUGACGGUACCAACAGAAAAAGCCCCGGCUAACUCCGUGCCAGCAGCCGCCGUAA